GGUCUCACUCUGUCACCAGGCUGGAGUGCACUGGUGCAGUCUUGGCUCACUGCAACCUCCAUCUCCUGGCUUCAAGCAAUUCUCCUGCCUUAGCCUCCCAAGUAGCUGGGACUACAGGUUCGCAUCACCACGCCCAGCUAAUUUUUGUAUUUUUAGUAGAGAUGGGGUUUCCCCAUUUUGGCCAGGAUGGUCACGAUCUCCUCACCUUGUGAUCUGCCUGCUUUGGCCUCCCCAAGUGCUGGGAUUACAGCUGUUGCUGUGUUGGACACUUGCUCCCAUCUAUUUUCUUCUCUAGAAUCCACUGCCCUGGAAUGAGUCAUUUUUUUUAGAAGCAGAGGUGGAGCCACUGAGGAAGCACAGGCGAGCCCUCCCCAGCGUGUACUCACUGGUCCCCAACAGAAGAACAGCUGCCGCAUCCACUGAGGGCCUCAGUGCAUGGGCGGUGUCCAACCUCUGGUGCUGAAUCAGCCAAGAGAUCCAAGCCUGCUUGGCUGCCUCUUAGGAUAUGAAAGCACAGCCACUGGGCUCUACUGAAUCCUAUGCAACCUCAGAAGACACCCAGGAGUGAUGCCAUCACGUGGUGCAAGAGUUCUGAGGGACCGCAAUCCUGAAGACAUUGAAUGGCUGUGUUCCUGCUCAUUGCUGGAGGCACUGUCAGGGGCCCUGUCCUCAACCCCGGGUCUGACACUUGCAGAUCAGGCAGGACAUUCUGGAGGAAUCAUGCCCUUGGAAGGAUCCCUGAGGAGUGACUGUUGUUAGAUUAAAAAACAGUGGCAAAGAGCAAUACAGAGAGUUGCCAAAAUUCACACCGCUGGUCCAGGUUUGAAGCAAGCAAUCUGUACCUGCAGUCCUUGUCUGUAACCAUGGCACCCUGGCUUCUCACACAUCUCAUCGUGGAGUUCCACCAUGUGUCAGGCAUGGCACUGAGCACCUUCUUUUAAGAAUAUAAUUUGUAAUUAUGUAGAUUCUUAAUUCUACUUCAAAAUGCCACACAGCCUUCAUGUGAUAAAAUGAAACAAUUGCUCAACUGAUCUCCUGGGAUCUCUACUAAGAUGUUGGCAGCCCGGUCAGCUGGUCUGGCCCUGGACGUGCCUUCAGGGUCUGGUUAUGCUUCAUGACCUGCAUUGUGGUCAGUGCCAUUUUGCAGACUUUGAUCACAGUGAAACGUUCCAUGGGAACUUGGGCCAUGAGAAACAUCCUUCCUAACCACGUGACUGCAGAAACAUCCUUAUCACAUCCUCCUGGGCAAAGGCCCAACAGCCUGACUGCAGGGACAUCCUUGCCAUAUCCUGCUGGGCAGCAAGCUCUACCACCCAGAUCCCUCCCUCCCAGUCCCAUGAUUACCCCAGCCUGUGAGUGGCAGUUGGUUCUGGCACUAAGCUGGUUUCCUCCUCCCCAGGGUUUUGCUGGCAAUAAAGAUGUUGCUGUUGAAGCCAC
rnacentral:lncRNA from 1 species